GAUGAACGCUGGCGGCGUGCCUAAUACAUGCAAGUCGAGCGAACAGACGAGGAGCUUGCGCCUCUGACGUUAGCGGCGGACGGGUGAGUAACACGUGGAUAACCUACCUAUAAUACUGGGAGAACAUCGGGAAACCGGAGCUAAUACCGGCGAAUAUAUUGAACCGCAUGGUGCAGUAGUGAAAGACGGUUUUGCUGUCACUAAUAGACGGAGCCGCGCCGGAUUAGAUAGUGGGUAAGGGAACGGCACGCCAAGGCGACGAUGCGUAGCCGAUCUGAGAGGAUGAGCAGCCACACUGGAACUGAGACACGGUCCAGACUCCUACGGGAGGCACCAGUGUGGAAUAUUGGACAAUGGGGGCAAGCCUGAGCCAGCCAUACCGCGUGUGUGUAGAAGGCCUUCUGGGUGUAAAGCCCUUUUUUUUUGAAAGAAAAGCAGCGGGUUAAUACCCCGCUGCGCUGACGGUACCCAAAGAAUAAGCGCCGGCUAACUUCGUG
rnacentral:rRNA from 1 species